UAUGUAAGUAUUUAAAACCAUUAUUAUUUAUUACCAAUCAAUAUUUAUAUUGUUGGGUAAACAAAUUUCGGAACAUCUUUCGUCUUGUUAAUGUAGCUGGCAAGCAAAGCGGCGUUAUGAAUAAAUUUAAGUUGCUAUAGAAACAAUGUUCUGUUGAUUGUCACUUGUGUCAUAGAAAAUAAAAAGAGCUAUCCAUUGUGUAUUCCUACUGUUGUAAUAAAUUAAUUUCGUGGACAAAUCUAUCUCCUAUUUUUCUACUGUAAAAUCACACUCAGCCACACGCUCACACACGUCUGACAUUGAAAAGACAGGGAUUUUUCUUGUUUUGACGUAUUUUCUAACCUCUUAGAAUGUUAUUAGAAGUCGUAAUAAAAUAAUUUGAAUAUAAAGCUAUGUUUUAAAGUAAAUAAAGACCAUUUAACGAUGUUAACAUGAUGAGACAUCGAUUUUAUGGAAUGGAGGAGAAGAUUUAACAGCUAGAAAUUAACAAAAAUCCUGCAAGAGAAUCGAGAUCUCGCUUUUGGCGAGUGGAAGUCCAAAGGCAAAGUGCAGCGGUUUGCAGUUCUUAGCCUCACUUUUUUGGACCUAACAAGACAGGAAAAGAAUAGUCAAAGAGGAAACCCGAGUAGCCAGAUGAUAAUAUAUGAAACCAUGAGCAGCCAGCCAUUGAAACUCG